rnacentral:sRNA from 1 species
AGUUUUUGGAAUUUCCAAACAUAUCAUAGUGAACAAAGAAAAUGGGAAUGG